rnacentral:rRNA from 1 species
CCUACGGGAGGCAGCAGUGAGGAAUAUUGGUCAAUGGACGAGAGUCUGAACCAGCCAAGUAGCGUGAAGGAUGACUGCCCUAUGGGUUGUAAACUUCUUUUAUAUGGGAAUAAAAUGUUCCACGUGUGGGAUUUUGUAUGUAACAUAUGAAUAAGGAUCGGCUAACUCCGUGCCAGCAGCCGCGGUAAUACGGAGGAUCCGAGCGUUAUCCGGAUUUAUUGGGUUUAAGGGGAGCGUAGGUGGAUUGUUAAGUCAGUUGUGAAAGUUUGCGGCUCAACCGUAAAAUUGCAGUUGAAACUGGCAGUCUUGAGUACAGUAGAGGUGGGCGGAAUUCGUGGUGUAGCGGUGAAAUGCUUAGAUAUCACGAAGAACUCCGAUUGCGAAGGCAGUUCACUGGACUGCAACUGACACUGAGGCUCGAAAGUGUGGGUAUCAAACAGGAUUAGAUACCCUUGUAGUC